AUCGACUUAGUAUAAGGAGUAUGCUGGACUGUAGAUUCUGAGGUAGUUUUGUCUAGUCGGAG
rnacentral:tRNA from 1 species